AGAGUUUGAUCAUGGCUCAGAGCGAACGCUGGCGGCAGGCUUAACACAUGCAAGUCGAGCGGGCGUAGCAAUACGUCAGCGGCAGACGGGUGAGUAACGCGUGGGAACAUACCUUUUGGUUCGGAACAACCCAGGGAAACUUGGGCUAAUACCGGAUAAGCCCUUACGGGGAAAGAUUUAUCGCCGAAAGAUUGGCCCGCGUCUGAUUAGCUAGUUGGUGAGGUAACGGCUCACCAAGGCGACGAUCAGUAGCUGGUCUGAGAGGAUGAUCAGCCACAUUGGGACUGAGACACGGCCCAAACUCCUACGGGAGGCAGCAGUGGGGAAUAUUGGACAAUGGGCGCAAGCCUGAUCCAGCCAUGCCGCGUGAGUGAUGAAGGCCCUAGGGUUGUAAAGCUCUUUUGUGCGGGAAGAUAAUGACGGUACCGCAAGAAUAAGCCCCGGCUAACUUCGUGCCAGCAGCCGCGGUAAUACGAAGGGGGCUAGCGUUGCUCGGAAUCACUGGGCGUAAAGGGUGCGUAGGCGGGUCUUUAAGUCAGGGGUGAAAUCCUGGAGCUCAACUCCAGAACUGCCUUUGAUACUGAAGGUCUUGAGUUCGGGAGAGGUGAGUGGAACUGCGAGUGUAGAGGUGAAGUUCGUAGAUAUUCGCAAGAACACCAGUGGCGAAGGCGGCUCACUGGCCCGAUACUGACGCUGAUGCACGAAAGCGUGGGGAGCAAACAGGAUUAGAUACCCUAGUAGUCC
rnacentral:rRNA from 1 species